CGCUGGCGGCGUGCUUAACACAUGCAAGUCGAACGGAAAGGCCCUGCUUUUGUGGGGUGCUCGAGUGGCGAACGGGUGAGUAACACGUGAGUAACCUGCCCUUGACUUUGGGAUAACUUCAGGAAACUGGGGCUAAUACCGGAUAGGAGCUCCUGCUGCAUGGUGGGGGUUGGAAAGUUUCGGCGGUUGGGGAUGGACUCGCGGCUUAUCAGCUUGUUGGUGGGGUAGUGGCUUACCAAGGCUUUGACGGGUAGCCGGCCUGAGAGGGUGACCGGCCACAUUGGGACUGAGAUACGGCCCAGACUCCUACGGGAGGCAGCAGUGGGGAAUAUUGCACAAUGGGCGGAAGCCUGAUGCAGCAACGCCGCGUGCGGGAUGACGGCCUUCGGGUUGUAAACCGCUUUCGCCUGUGACGAAGCGUGAGUGACGGUAAUGGGUAAAGAAGCACCGGCUAACUACGUGCCAGCAGCCGCGGUGAUACGUAGGGUGCGAGCGUUGUCCGGAUUUAUUGGGCGUAAAGGGCUCGUAGGUGGUUGAUCGCGUCGGAAGUGUAAUCUUGGGGCUUAACCCUGAGCGUGCUUUCGAUACGGGUUGACUUGAGGAAGGUAGGGGAGAAUGGAAUUCCUGGUGGAGCGGUGGAAUGCGCAGAUAUCAGGAGGAACACCAGUGGCGAAGGCGGUUCUCUGGGCCUUUCCUGACGCUGAGGAGCGAAAGCGUGGGGAGCGAACAGGCUUAGAUACCCUGGUAGUCCACGCUGUAAACGGUGGGUACUAGGUGUGGGGUCCAUUCCACGGGUUCCGUGCCGUAGCUAACGCUUUAAGUACCCCGCCUGGGGAGUACGGCCGCAAGGCUAAAACUCAAAGGAAUUGACGGGGCCCCGCACAAGCGGCGGAGCAUGCGGAUUAAUUCGAUGCAACGCGUAGAACCUUACCUGGGUUUGACAUGGAUCGGGAGUGCUCAGAGAUGGGUGUGCCUCUUUUGGGGUCGGUUCACAGGUGGUGCAUGGCUGUCGUCAGCUCGUGUCGUGAGAUGUUGGGUUAAGUCCCGCAACGAGCGCAACCCUUGUUCACUGUUGCCAGCACGUUAUGGUGGGGACUCAGUGGAGACCGCCGGGGUCAACUCGGAGGAAGGUGGGGAUGACGUCAAGUCAUCAUGCCCCUUAUGUCCAGGGCUUCACGCAUGCUACAAUGGCUGGUACAGAGAGUGGCGAGCCUGUGAGGGUGAGCGAAUCUCGGAAAGCCGGUCUCAGUUCGGAUUGGGGUCUGCAACUCGACCUCAUGAAGUCGGAGUCGCUAGUAAUCGCAGAUCAGCAACGCUGCGGUGAAUACGUUCCCGGGGCUUGUACACACCGCCCGUCAAGUCAUGAAAGUUGGUAACACCCGAAGCCGGUGGCCUAACCGUUGUGGGGGAGCCGUCGAAGGUGGGACUGG
rnacentral:rRNA from 1 species